rnacentral:lncRNA from 1 species
GCUAGUUGUUUCAUUUGUUGGUUGGUUGGAUGUAAGAACUGAAGGUGUUGCUUUUGCAAACUGAUUAUCUAUCCAGAAUGUUGCACUUGUGGUACUACAUGAUCUUACUAAUGCUUUUCUACUCGAUGUGGUUGGUAGUUUCUUGGCAGUAUCACGCAGAUUGGUUCUUAUUUAUGGCAUAUAUUUUUUUAUCAUAUAUACAUAUAUUAAUUAAUUCACUUCGGCCGUCUUCAUCAUCUAACAAUGUAGUGUGUGUGUGUGUAUGUGUGUGUGUUGAAAUGCAGAUGGCAGAGAACCGUGUGAUCUUUCUCAAUUCUGCCGCUAAAGAUGAAGAGAGUGCUUCCAUGCUUCUUCGGAGCGAAAUGGCAGAGUUGCCUUGAGGUAUGUUCUUGCUCCUGUGAUCCAUUUUCAUUCUGCACUUGCCUCAAGCUAAUCUAAGUGACACUGUUCAUAUGAAUCCAUUGUAAGUUGUGGGAGCACACUCUUCAUAUGGAGGAAAUAGUAAUGGUUGCUUGAUUUGUUUCAUGCCGGUAUAUAUCAUGCUCAAUUCUUAUCAUGAUCAUCCCUGCUUAUUUUUGUUUAUUAUAUCUAUUUAUUCCAGUAAAUCUCAUGAUUUAUGUCUGUAUAUAACAAAUGAUUCUUUAGUAAAUAUGGAUACCAAACUGAAUCUUAUUUUUGUGAAUUGUCACACUAGUAUUAUGUGUAGUUUUGGGAUGGCAGUACCAUACUGACACUACUAGGGAAAAGCUUAUACACAGAAUCUUACCAGUAGCGCUCCUCAAAAUACCACGCUACUGCUAUUUAGCAGCAGCGCGUAUUAUCAAAACACGCUGCUGACAGGAAAAUAGCAGUAGCGCGUCCACCACAAACCGCGNNNNNNNNNNNNNNNNNNNNNNNNNNNNNNNNNNNNNNNNNNNNNNNNNNNNNNNNNNNNNNNNNNNNNNNNNNNNNNNNNNNNNNNNNNNNNNNNNNNNNNNNNNNNNNNNNNNNNNNNNNNNNNNNNNNNNNNNNNNNNNNNNNNNNNNNNNNNNNNNNNNNNNNNNNNNNNNNNNNNNNNNNNNNNNNNNNNNNNNNNNNNNNNNNNNNNNNNNNNNNNAGUAGCGCACUAUAUUGAACAGCGCUACUACUAUAGAAGUUAGCAGCAACGCGCUUCUAGGAAAACCGCUACUGCUAAGAUCAGCCCACAAGUUUAGUCCCACCUCGCUCUGUGAACAGGGUGUUUACCACCUUAAAUAUGUUAUUUCUGAAACUACCACAACCAGUUGAUCUUCACUGAACUCUAUGUGUAAAAUUUGUGGCCGCAAUAUGAGUCCUCUCCGGUUCCUACCGGAGAGGACUCAUCUUGACAAUUCAGAUUGUACACAAAAAGAUCAUUGAUGGCCAAUGUAUUUUUGCAUUGACGUAUUUUUUGUAUAGUUACACUUAGCAGUAGCGGUUUAUAUGCAAAGUGCUACUGCUAUUCAGAUUAGCUGUAGCGCGUUUUGGAAAACGUGCUACAACUAUCCCUACCUUAUCCCCACGCGCACGACCGGCCCUCACUCAAACUCUCACUCUCGCCCGCGUGCCGAUAACCGUCGUCGUGUGUCGCCGCCGCCGCCGCGCGCCUUCGUCCGUCCGCCGCCGAGGUACUCCCCUCCUUUCGUCCCUCCUCCCUCCUCGCACAUCCUCCCUCCGCCUGCGGCCGUCCCUCCCUCCUCCUCCGCCGCCCUCCUUCCUCCGCCUGCGGCCGCCCCUCCUCCCUCCUCCGUCGGCAGCCCUCCUCCCACCGCCCUCGACCUCGCCGCCCCUAGCUACCUCUCCGUCGCCCUCCACCCCCUGCCACUAGUUAGUACUAGAUUUAGUAGUAGUAGAUGUUAAUUUAGGCUUCAUAGCUAGUACUAGAUGUUGCAUAGUUAUUACUAGAUUUUUAGUAGUAGUAGAUGUUAAUAGUAGUUAACUAGGGCAGUAUGAUUAAUAGUAGUUGUAGUUGAACUAGUUUAGUCAGUAAAUUAAUAAACUAGUUGAACUAGUUGAAUUAAUAGAACUAAUGUAUUUUUAGUAAGAUAAUUAAUAUAACUAGUUGAACUACUUUAUUUUCAGAAAGAACUAGUUUUUUUAUUUAUAUUAAGUUUAUAUUUAGUAAGAACUAGUUGAAUUAAUAAAACUAGUUGAACAUGUCACAUUUGUUGUUAUUUUUUAGUUUAAGCAAUUAUUCGGGAUGUAUUAGUGAUAACUUAUAUGGUUUCAGGUGACCACCGUUGUCCCCGUCACCGACCCCCUCCGACAUCCCCGCCGUCGUCCCAGUCACCGACCCCCUCCGACAUCGAGGUGAGACCAGCCAAAUAUCCUUGUAUAUCUUGUGUUGUUGCUCAAAUAGGAUAUGUGGUUGCCCAAGUGGCCGUUCAUGUUCAGUUUACAUCUCCGAGUGGCCUAUGUUUUGCCAGAGUGUUGAUUAAUUUCUGCUCCGGCAAAUUUCAGGCGCUCGAUAUGUCCUUUUUUAGCAAAGGUCAUGCCGGAUUUUUUCGUGAAUUCUGGCAUGACUUGAGCUAGAAUAUGUACAAGUUUAAUCUUUGAAUUAUGAACGUAGGAAAUGUCGUACUCGGAAGAUGAGAGUCUCCCGGGGGAGUGUAGCUGGUGCCACGACGAUCGAGGUAUGUGCGACAGGUUCGUUGAGCUGGACGAAGAUCGGCGCUUCAACAUUAAGCUCGAGGAGACCUUCGAUUGUGAAACGGUACGCAACAACGACAAGUGUUUUUUUCGUAAUUAAGCAUGAAUUCAACUGUUUCAACAUCUAAUUUUCAUAUUUUACAAUUCGACUAGCUUAUCCCAUGCCAUGCAAGACGCUAUGUCUUGGAGAGGAUGGGUUUUGAAGACCAUGAAAAUUUCGAAACAAAGAAAAUACACCUAAGGACCCAUCAUGAUAUGGAUUUUGAAGUAAAUAUGUGCAAUGCUCAGAGCGUAACCCAUUUUGGUUGCCAAAAUUGGGAAGCACUUUGCAAAAUGUAUGGUUUUUAUGAGGGUAUGAUUGUGACCAUGGAUCUUGGUGAUCCUGACAUCGAGCAAGACAAUAUGGACAUUUGGGUCCUUGUUGAUACGCUUCCGAUUGUACCGCUAUGUGAGUUUCUCAAACAUAGUUAUUAACUAAUUUAUAUUGUUUAUUUCAAAAUAGUUGAUAGCUUAUUUCCAUUGACAGCUUAUUUUGAUUCUUCAAAGACUAUGCGGAAGAUGGUAGAUAAAACCCACUACACCGAUGGCACCGAAUUAACAUAUAAGGAGAAAAAUCAUCUGAUCGCAUUUUGUACUCUUCUUGAGAAUUACAAUAACUAUUAUUGAACUCCUCCAAAUUAUGGUGAAUACGUGCCACUAGUGCAUGUGUUGAACUACGGUAACUUCUCUGGAGAUACCCUGGUAAGAUUUUUUACUAUUAUGACAUCCGUGCAUCUUUUGCGUACUUCUAAAACUAGUACAUCAUUGCAAACUAUGAAGUUAUUAUUGUGUUUUUCAACAGAAACUCUCGAUGGAUUGUGUGCCUCAUCUGAUGUCUCUGUAUGGUCGCCUCUCAGUUCUGAACAUACUGCCAGGUAAACCUAGGGAGCUCACCUGUGCAUAUCGGAUUUCUAAAACCCGUGAACACAUGUUCAUCAAAGAAUGGAAGAAAUGUAUGGACAUUCGCAAGGAGGUUCUUGGAAGUAACAUUCAGCGAAAGGCAAGAAUUGGAGAUAGGCUAAUCUCCAUUCUCCAUAAUGGAGAGUCAGGGGCUAUCUUGUUUUUUGCUAUUUUACCUUAGAAAAUGUAGUAGGUCUUAAUCGAAUGUAAUAGGUCCUAUGAGGUACAAUAUGUUUAUUAUGUGGUAAUGUGUUAGAGUUGAUAAUGAGGAGUACUUGUGAUUACGACUAGUGACCAAUUUGCUAUCUGAUGUCAUUGAUGAAAAUGAUGAUCUUGAGGAGGUGUUAUAUGACAAUGAUGUAUUAUGAUGAUAAGUUGUUAAUGAUAUGAUGAUGAUGAUGAUAUUAUUAUAUCAUUGGGUGAAAGAACCGCGGAUUAGUUUCAAGUGGAUGGACAUCCACUUGAAACUAGUCCACGGUUCUUUCACCCCGUGAUGUAAUAACUCAUUAUGAUGUAAAAACAAUCUCUAAAUUCCUGUUGUAUGAAAACUUGUGUAAAGGUGUAUGAAUACAACAUGAAAUAAAAAAGAAAUAAAAUACUAAAUAAUAGUAGUAGCGCGGGAAAGUAGAAGCGCUACUACUAAUUACCAGUAGUGCUGUUCUGAAGAAGCGCUACUACUAAGUCAAUUUAGCAGUAGCGUGGAUCUAGGCGCGCUAUUGCUAAGCAUUAGCUGUAGUGCCUUAUCAGUAGCGCUCCUGCCCGCGCUACUGAUAGGCCUAAAACCCGCACUGCUGCUAGGCUUUUCCCUAGUAGUGUGAAACUGUAUACCUAAGCCAUCAUCACUUCAAAAGUACUAGCACUCCUGUUAGCUGUGGAACUUUUGGGAUGGCUCCAUAUUUUUUAUUUGUUCAGGUUUUUUUUCCGCAUCUAACCCUUGGACCAAUUCAUUUGUUUUUUUAUAGGGACCUGACCUCGCGGAAGACGGGUGACCACUUUGCUGCCACAAGUCGCCUCCACACCGUGUAGCCCGCAAACAUGUCUCGGAGCAUUUGCCAAUCAAAUUUUAUGUUGCAAUGAACCGUUGACUCUCGUUGAUCGAACAUCUUGUAUUUUUCAUUUGGACUGUGGCAUGUAUGCAUGUAACAUUUUCAUUUGAACCGUUGAUAGUACUUGCAACAGAUUAUAUGAGCCUUUGUGUUGUUUUGCGUAAUCUAGUUGCACCAUUGUUGCAAGUAUAUUUCUUCUAUGAGCUUUUGAAGCUUUUGAAAUUGUAAAAAUUGCAUCUUUAAUUGUAGUAUACUAAUUUUGUAAA